rnacentral:rRNA from 1 species
GACGAACGCUGGCGGCGUGCUUAACACAUGCAAGUCGAACGGAAAGGCCCUGCUUUUGUGGGGGGCUCGAGUGGCGAACGGGUGAGUAACACGUGAGUAACCUGCCCUUGACUUUGGGAUAACUUCAGGAAACUGGGGCUAAUACCGGAUAGGAGCUCCUGCUGCAUGGGGGGGGUUGGAAAGUUUCGGCGGUUGGGGAUGGACUCGCGGCUGAUCAGCUUGUUGGGGGGGUAGUGGCUUACCAAGGCGUUGACGGGUAGCCGGCCUGAGAGGGUGACCGGCCACACUGGGACUGAGACACGGCCCAGACGCCUACGGGAGGCAGCAGUGGGGAAUGUUGGACAAUGGGGGCAACCCUGAUCCAGCCAUGCCGCGUGCGGGAAGAAGGCCUUCGGGCUGUAAACCGCUUUUGUUCGGGAAGAAAUCCUCUGGGCUAAUACCCCGGGGGGAUGACGGUACCGGAAGAAUAAGCACCGGCUAACUACGUG